rnacentral:rRNA from 1 species
AGGGCUUGACAUCCUGCGAACCUUUAAGAAAUUAGAGGGUGCCUUCGGGAACGCAGUGACAGGUGGUGCAUGGCUGUCGUCAGCUCGUGUCGUGAGAUGUUGGGUUAAGUCCCGCAACGAGCGCAACCCACGUUUUUAGUUGCCAGCAUUUAGUUGGGCACUCUAGAAAGACCGCCGGUGAUAAACCGGAGGAAGGUGUGGAUGACGUCAAGUCAUCAUGCCCCUUACGUCCUGGGCUACACACGUACUACAAUGCUACGGACAAAGGGCAGCAAACUCGCGAGAGCUAGCAAAUCCCAUAAACCGUGGCUCAGUUCAGAUCGUAGGCUGCAACUCGCCUACGUGAAGUAGGAAUCGCUAGUAAUCGCAGGUCAGCAUAC